ACAGGGUGAUUCCAUGUCCCGCUCGCGAUGGCCCCUGCACUACCGCUUUCGAUUCAAGGGUCGCCUCGCCGCAGACAAAGCCCACGAGGGCGCACAAGGAGAGCCCCGACGUACAUGCCCCUCAAUUCUCCCUCUGCCCUCUUGGUUCCGCUCUGCUCUCACCUUGCCAGGCGGUUGAGGUGUCUGAUUUGUUCUGCUAAUGUGGUAUUGACACAGGGUUUUGUCACGAAGCCAGAGAUGCUGACCGAUGGGAUAGUGAAGCUGAUGAUUUGGCACCGCACCAUUCCCAGCAUGCAAGGGUAAGCGACCCAAGGGUUCUUAUCUGUCCACUAUUUAAUCAAAUCCCCGUGGCGUUUUCGAUUCCUUUUUGUGUGCUCAGUUCUUUCUUUGUGUCAUGAGUUUUAGAACUUGAUUGGGAUGGUUUUUGUUCCAUGAGAAUUAUUAGGGUUUGAUCGGGAUGAUUCGAGUAUUAGUUCUUACGGUCACUGGAUUUUGCAUAUUGUCAUAGUCUAAUGCCAUUAAAUUUUGAAGGUAGCGAUACUGUUUUCACCCUAUUGAAUAGGGUAUAUGAUGAUGUUGGCAAUCACUAGAGCAGGUAAUAUUUUGUUAUUAAAGUUUUCAUGUCGUUUCUGCACUGCCAUGGCUUGAUCUGUGAGGAUCCAUACAUGCGUAUGGUUUAUGCUUGUAAGUUUUCUCCUUCCCUUGCUUUACACAUCUGCCAUAUCAUGCUUGACAAACACAUCAGUUUUGGCCCUAAUGUUCCGGUGUGUUUCUGUGUAACUUUGCCCCUUUCUUUGUGCCAAGAUUUUGUUCAUUGGGUCUGCAUGGGCUACCAGGGAUUAAGGUUAAUGAUUCAAUGAUGCUCUUUGUAUUAUGCUUAUGGUUGAGUAUGGCGUUUAACACUAACUACGAGAUAGGUUAGAACAGAAUUGGAAGACCAGCUUCUCUACACAUAUAGAUGCCAUUUUCUCGAUGGGGGGUUCAGUGAUUUCAAGGCGCUGCCUAGAGCAAGUGGAGAAUUGAGUGAUUUUUAGGAGCUCCUACGCUAUUUUUUAUAGAUGCCAUUUUCUCGAUGGGGAGAACAGAAUCGGGACAGGAAUGGAGAUGGAGGAAGACGACCGAGCCGCUCGAGUGCUGCUGAGCUCCCAGUGUCUCUGUCUCUGAUGAGGUUAGUACCUGCACUGCACCGCUCCUCCUGCUCCGCCAUGCUCUCCGCCGCAUUCCUCACCCAGCCUUGCUCGCAGCUACUAUUGUUCCUUGCUGUUGCUGCUUUCGGCACUGAUCUGGCUGGCGGCUCUUGGCUGAGAAAGAUCAAAAAACACUACCAGCCACCGCCAUCUCACACAGGCUGAAUAUCUAAGGUCUGAAACUCUGAAUUACUUGCAUAGCAAUUAGUAAGGUCACGAUGUUGGAUGCUGAUUUUUUUUGUUUUGAACUUCUCCUCUGGUCGAAUCUCCAUGGUUCAACACGUUGUGUGGCAUUGGAAUUCUCACCACAACUUAUGGAAUUAAGGAAGGGGAUGGUUAAGCCUCCUACUGCUCCCCUUGUUGGAUGUUUGAAAUGGUUAGUUUAUGAAAGCCACAGAAUUUAUUAUAUCAUGGUAACAGUAAAGAAUGGCUAUAUGAACGAAUGACAUAUUAAAAUCUGGAUAUUAGACUUAUGUAUGACUUUGGUAGCAUAUUCAUAUCCUGCCUUGAUUAUUUUUGUCUUGCUACUUACGCCUUUACUUUUCUUUUGAAUGUCAUCGAAUAAGGUGAUGUUGUUGUGUUGUCUGCAUUUGGAGCUGCUGUGGAGGAGGUACACACUAAAUGAGAAGAAAGUGCAGAUUGUUGAUACGACUUGCUCUUGUUUUUCAAAGG
rnacentral:lncRNA from 1 species